AGGGGAGUGAAAAAGAACCUGAAACCGUGUACGUACAAGCAGUGGGAGCCCCACCACUAAGCCAGUGGUGAACUCCACAUACGCAUCCUUUGCUGAGGAUACGGUUAACGGAGCGAAAGCGACGUUCAACCUCAAAAGAAGCAGAGGGGGCUUAGUGGUGGGGUGACUGCGUACCUUUUGUAUAAUGGGUCAGCGACUUAUAUUCUGUAGCAAGGUUAACCGAAUAGGGGAGCCGGAGGGAAACCGAGUCUUAAUUGGGCGUUAAGUUGCAGGGUAUAGACCCGAAACCCGGUGAUCUAGCCAUGGGCAGGUUGAAGGUUGGGUAACACUAACUGGAGGACCGAACCGACUAAUGUUGAAAAAUUAGCGGAUGACCUGUGGCUGGGGGUGAAAGGCCAAUCAAACCGGGAGAUAGCUGGUUCUCCCCGAAAGCUAUUUAGGUAGCGCCUCGUGAAUUCAUCUCCGGGGGUAGAGCACUGUUUCGGCUAGGGGGUCAUCCCGACUUACCAACCCGAUGCAAACUGCGAAUACCGGAGAAUGUUAUCACGGGAGACACACGGCGGGUGCUAACGUCCGUCGUGAAGAGGGAAACAACCCAGACCGCCAGCUAAGGUCCCAAAGUCAUGGUUAAGUGGGAAACGAUGUGGGAAGGCCCAGACAGCCAGGAUGUUGGCUUAGAAGCAGCCAUCAUUUAAAGAAAGCGUAAUAGCUCACUGGUCGAGUCGGCCUGCGCGGAAGAUGUAACGGGGCUAAACCAUGCACCGAAGCUGCGGCAGCGACACUGUGUGUUGUUGGGUAGGGGAGCGUUCUGUAAGCCGUUGAAGGUGUGUCGUGAGGCAUGCUGGAGGUAUCAGAAGUGCGAAUGCUGACAUAAGUAACGAUAAUGCGGGUGAAAAACCCGCACGCCGGAAGACCAAGGGUUCCUGUCCAACGUUAAUCGGGGCAGGGUGAGUCGACCCCUAAGGCGAGGCCGAAAGGCGUAGUCGAUGGGAAACGGGUUAAUAUUCCCGUACUUGGUGUUACUGCGAAGGGGGGACGGAGAAGGCUAUGUUGGCCGGGCGACGGUUGUCCCGGUUUAAGCGUGUAGGUGUGUGUUCCAGGUAAAUCCGGUUCACUUUAACACUGAGGCGUGAUGACGAGGCACUACGGUACUGAAGCAACAAAUGCCCUGCUUCCAGGAAAAGCCUCUAAGCAUCAGGUAACAUCAAAUCGUACCCCAAACCGACACAGGUGGUCAGGUAGAGAAUACCAAGGCGCUUGAGAGAACUCGGGUGAAGGAACUAGGCAAAAUGGUGCCGUAACUUCGGGAGAAGGCACGCUGACA
rnacentral:rRNA from 1 species